UAGAUUUUAUCUCAAAAAAACACUUUCUUGGCUUAUCCAUAAGAAACAACUUCUCAUUCAUUCAAGUUCUGCAUGAGAUUGUAGCAAUUCAGCCUCAUCUUCAGGCUCUACUGCUAAUACUAUUUCUCAGA